AUAGGGUUAUUGCAUGAAUAUUGGGGAAUAUUCAUGUCUUGAGUCGAAUUUUAUAUUGCAAGAGCUUGCGAGUCGAAUAUAUGUUAUACGAGGGACAAGAUUUCCCAAUAUUCAUGCAGUAAUCCUUUUA
rnacentral:sRNA from 1 species